UACGUAGGGACCGAGCGUUGUCCGGAUUCAUUGGGCGUAAAGAGCUCGUAGGCGGCUGCUCAAGUCGAAUGUGAAAACUCGAGGCUCAACCUCGAGACUGCAUUCGAUACUGGGCGGCUAGAGUCUGGUAGGGGGAUCUGGAAUUCCUGGUGUAGCGGUGGAAUGCGCAGAUAUCAGGAGGAACACCGGUGGCGAAGGCGGGAUCCUGGGCCAGUACUGACGCUGAGGAGCGAAAGCGUGGGGAGCAAACAGG
rnacentral:rRNA from 1 species